AGCGAACGCUGUCGGCAGGCCUAACACAUGCAAGUCGAACGAACCUUCCGGGGUUUGUGUCGGAUGGGUGUGUAACACGUGGGAACGUGCCCUUAGGUUCGGAAUAACUCAGGGAAACUUGUGCUAAUACCGAAUGUGCCCUUCUGGGGAAAGAUUAAUAGCCUUUAGAGGGGCCCGCGUCUGAUUAGCUAGUUGGUUGAGUUAAAGGUGCACCAAGGCGACGAUAAGUAGCUGGUAUGAGAGGCUGAUCAGCCACAUUGGCACUGAGACACGGCACAAACUCCUACGGGAGGCAGCAGAGGGGAAUCUUGCGCAAUGGGGGAAGGGCUGACGGAGUCAUGCCGGGUGAAUGCUGAAGGUCGUAGGAUUGUAAAAUUCUUUCACCGGGGACGAUAAUGACGGUACCCGGAGAAGAAGCCACGGCUAACUUCGUG
rnacentral:rRNA from 1 species